CAGCACUGCACCUUUAUGUUGCUCAUGCCAGCUUCCCUCCCAAAUCUGGCUGGAAACAUUCCUGCAUUCCCCAUGAGGUCAGCUUGUACCUGCUGAGGGCUUGGCCCCAUUUUAUAGAGCUUUUCCAUGAGGUGUGCCCUGGGAAUGCCCUCCCCUGGGCUGUGGCAACAGUGCUUGGAGAUGAGCAGUGCUGGUGCCUUCAGGAGGCUGAGCAAGUUGAGGUGCUGGGUGAUUUGCACCUGGAAUUUCUGUUCUUUUCUGCUCCUUGCUGGGGUUUGGAGGCAGACUGAAGCCAGACAAGAAAGGGCAGAUGCGUCUCCCCCUCGACAAGUCUCUGCAGGAAGCAAAAUGUUGCCCUCCGCUGUUUGCAGCGUUGCUGGAACAGAGAACUCGCUGCGUCCGAGCCAGUCCAGUGCUUUACUCCAGUGUCACAUCCCUGGCACUGGUCAGGGGAUUUGGAGAGAGACGACUCCCACCCAGCCCACAGAUGCUGCAAAGACCUGA
rnacentral:lncRNA from 1 species